rnacentral:rRNA from 1 species
GACGAACGCUGGCGGCGUGCUUAACACAUGCAAGUCGAACGGGCUCUGUCUGGCUGUGUGCUGGGUGGGGUUAGUGGCGAACGGGUGAGUAAUACGUGAGUAACCUGCCCUCUUCUUUGGGAUAAGCCUUGGAAACGGGGUCUAAUACUGGAUAUUCCUGUCUGGUCGCAUGGCUGGGUGGGGAAAGUUUUUUUCGAUGGGGGAUGGGCUCGCGGCCUAUCAGCUUGUUGGUGGGGUGAUGGCCUACCAAGGCGUCGACGGGUAGCCGGCCUGAGAGGGUGACCGGCCACACUGGGACUGAGAUACGGCCCAGACUCCUACGGGAGGCAGCAGUGGGGGAUAUUGCACAAUGGGCGCAAGCCUGAUGCAGCGACGCCGCGUGGGGGAUGACGGCUUUCGGGUUGUAAACCUCUUUCGUCGGGGGACAAGGCUCUGCUUGGUGGUGGGGUUGAGGGUACCCGGUGAAGAAGCGCCGGCUAACUACGUG